CAUUACAGAGAUCAUGCCCCUCGUUGGGUAGACCUCCCACCCUGUGUUAUUUACGAUUGUUGCUUUGGCAGGCCGCCAGCAUGCUGGCGCUCGGCUUCGGCUGAGGUGCGCCUGCCAGAGGACCCCCAACUCUGUGUUUAGUGUUGUCUGAGUACUAAGUUAAUACGUUAAAACUUUCAACAACGGAUCUCUUGGUUCUGGCAUCGAUGAAGAACGCAGCGAAAUGCGAUAAGUAAUGUGAAUUGCAGAAUUCAGUGGAUCAUCGAAUCUUUGAACGCACAUUGCGCCCCUUGGUAUUCCGGGGGGCAUGCCUGUUCGAGCGUCAUUUCAACCCUCAAGCUCUGCUUGGUCUUGGGCUCUGCCGGUAACGGCUGGCCUUAAACGCAGUGGCGGUGCCAUUCGAGCUCUACGCGUAGUAGUUAAACCCUCGCGAUUGAGUCUUGGUGGUUGCUUGCCAGAACCCCUAUAUUUUUUAUGGUUGACCUCGGAUCAGGUAGGGAUACCCGCUGAACUUAA
rnacentral:rRNA from 1 species